UACGGAGGAUGCAAGCGUUAUCCGGAUUUAUUGGGUUUAAAGGGUGCGCAGGUUGUUUGAUAAGUCAGUGGUGAAAGUCUGUCGCUUAACGGUAGGAUUGCCAUUGAUACUGUUAGACUUGAAUAUGGAUGAGGUAGGCGGAAUGUGUAGUGUAGCGGUGAAAUGCAUAGAUAUUACACAGAACACCGAUUGCGAAGACAGCUUACUAAUCCAUCAUUGACGCUGAGGCACGAAAGCGUGGGGAUCAAACA
rnacentral:rRNA from 1 species